rnacentral:rRNA from 1 species
AUACGUAGGGGGCGAGCGUUGUCCGGAAUGAUUGGGCGUAAAGGGCGCGUAGGCGGCCCGGUAAGUCUGGAGUGAAAGUCCUGUUUUUAAGAUGGGAAUUGCUUUGGAUACUGUCGGGCUUGAGUGCAGGAGAGGUAAGUGGAAUUCCCAGUGUAGCGGUGAAAUGCGUAGAGAUUGGGAGGAACACCAGUGGCGAAGGCGACUUACUGGACUGUAACUGACGCUGAGGCGCGAAAGUGUAGGGAGCAAACAGGAUUAGAUACCCUGGUAGUCCACACUGUAAACGAUGAAUGCUAGGUGUAGGGGGUAUCGACCCCUUCUGUGCCGCAGUCAACACAAUAAGCAUUCCGCCUGGGGAGUACGGCCGCAAGGUUGAAACUCAAAUGAAUUGACGGGG